rnacentral:other from 1 species
GACAUUCUGCGGUGCCCGUAAGUCUGUGCUUAAUUCAACCGACAUAUCAGACACGGGAAUUUAGUGUUUGAGAGAUAUGACAAGCCUCCUUUGAGUGGACGUCAGAUUCUAUCAACAAGAUACCCACCUUAAAUUAGGGCGGGUCUGAAUUAACUAAUGACUACGACACUCGCGGAUUAUGC